rnacentral:rRNA from 1 species
AUAGAAAGUUACUUCGGUACAUCGGUGACAGGUGGUGCAUGGUUGUCGUCAGCUCGUGUCGUGAGAUGUUGGGUUAAGUCCCGCAACGAGCGCAACCCUUGUCAUUAGUUGCUACAUUCAGUUGGGCACUCUAAUGAGACUGCCGGUGACAAACCGGAGGAAAGGUGGGGAUGACGUCAAGUCCUCAUGGCCCUUAUAGUGGGGCUACACACGUCAUACAAUGGAUGGUACAAAGGGUCGCCAACCCGCGAGGGGGAGCCAAUCCCAUAAAGCCAUUCGUAGUCCGGAUCGCAGUCUGCAACUCGACUGCGUGAAGUCGGAAUCGCUAGUAAUCGUGGAUCAGAAUGUCACGGUGAAUACGUUCCCGGGUCUU